GACGAACGCUGGCGGCGUGCUUAACACAUGCAAGUCGAACGAUGAAGAAGAGCUUGCUCUUCGGAUUAGUGGCGAAUGGGUGAGUAACACGUGACUAACCUGCCCCUUUCUCUGGGAUAACGCUCCGAAAGGAGUGCUAAUACCGGAUACUCACAUCGAGGCACAUGCCUUGAUGUGGAAAGUGUUUCGGAAAGGGAUGGAGUCGCGGCCUAUCAGCUUGUUGGUGAGGUAACGGCUCACCAAGGCGACGACGGGUAGCCGGCCUGAGAGGGCGACCGGCCACACUGGGACUGAGACACGGCCCAGACUCCUACGGGAGGCAGCAGUGGGGAAUAUUGCACAAUGGGCGAAAGCCUGAUGCAGCGACGCCGCGUGAGGGAUGAAGGUCUUCGGAUUGUAAACCUCUUUCAGUAGGGACGAAGCGAAAGUGACGGUACCUAAAGAAGAAGCACCGGCUAACUACGUGCCAGCCGCCGCCGUAA
rnacentral:rRNA from 1 species